rnacentral:lncRNA from 1 species
AUAUUCAAACAACUAGUUGAUUUAACGCAUAUAACUUCUAUUAACACACCAGUAACAGUAUCAAUGAACAGAUGAACAACCAAAAUUCGAAAAAUUCAUGAAUAAAGGGGAAAACACAAGGCCUGUUGUAAAGACACUAUGAGUACCACCGAUGAACCAACAAACACAUACCGAUGAACAGAUGAACAGCCAGACUUCCGAAAAUCAUGAAUCAAAGACAAAAUACAGGAUGUUUUUGUGAGUAAACUACGAGUAACACCGAAGAAGUAACAAACAACUUCAAAGAUUGACGAAUCGAAAGAGAAAUACUGACCGAUUGCGAAGAACAACAGAGAAAACCCUAAGUUGUGAAAAUGAUGAAAGACUGCACAAUGAAUGGUGAAAAUACUAUCGGAUGAUAGCCCUUGACGAGGAGAAGCGGAUUACCCGCUCUGAUACCAUGUUAACAUCCAUGGAAGCCAUGGAUGUGAAGAUUAACAAGGAUGAUGAACAGUGGUAGAAGAGAGAGAACGGAGAGAAUAUGUGAAAGGUCGGUCCGUUUAUUUCUCGAAUGUUCCA